GCGUCGUUUUGAAGCAAAUCUGAUAUUCUACUCCAUUUUCAGUAACAGCAGCCGCAAGAACUGCUGUAUCCUCCCCUCUGCUCUUCAUGCCGAAACCCCCCCUUUUCAACUUAGAUUUUGACGAAGCAAAUCAGGAUGUCGACGGCGCGCCUAUGUUGAUGCACUGGAGGAGAACGUGCGUUGUGCGGGGGCGACGUGGCCCGAUUCGUCUGCGGCGGAGGCGUGCGAGGGAGCCUUGCUGACGUGCGGCGCUGGGGCAAAGGGCUAGGUUUUUUCGGAUGUGUGCUGUUAGGGCUAGCUGUAGAACUCUUCGAUCAACAAAGAUGACUGGAGAUGCAAGUGAGGAAGCUGUUCCCGAGAUCAAAUAUGUUAGGACUUCAAAUUCAGCUGAAGGUCACAGCGGUUGGGUUUUAUCAAAGCAGGAGUAGCAAGCGGCAACUUCGGCUUCCGGACCGAGCAGAAAAGGCCCUGGUCUUUAGUACAAAUCUCUCUCAUUCGGAUUUAUGUUGCUCAUUUUUUUCCUUUUGUCCUUCUGGUUUGUAAUAUUCAGGACUCUAGUAUUGGUACAUAUGUUAUAUAAGUUGUGUUUCUA